rnacentral:rRNA from 1 species
UACGUAGGGUGCAAGCGUUGUCCGGAAUUAUUGGGCGUAAAGAGCUCGUAGGCGGCUUGUUGCGUCGGCUGUGAAAACCCGGGGCUCAACCCCGGGCCUGCAGUCGAUACGGGCAGGCUUGAGUCCGGCAGGGGAGACUGGAAUUCCUGGUGUAGCGGUGAAAUGCGCAGAUAUCAGGAGGAACACCGGUGGCGAAGGCGGGUCUCUGGGCCGGAACUGACGCUAAGGAGCGAAAGCGUGGGGAGCGAACAGG